AACGCGAAGAACCUUACCUGGGCUCGAAGCGCAGUGGACUGGGGUGGAAACAUCCCUUUCUCGCAAGAGACUGCUGCGGAGGUGCUGCAUGGCUGUCGUCAGCUCGUGUCGUGAGAUGUUGGGUUAAGUCCCGCAACGAGCGCAACCCUUAUCGUUAGUUGCCAGCGAGUCAAGUCGGGCACUCUAGCGAAACCGCCUCGGAUAACGGGGAGGAAGGUGGGGAUGACGUCAAGUCCUCAUGGCCUUUAUGUCCAGGGCUACACACGUGCUACAAUGGCCGGUACAAACCGUCGCAAACUCGCGAGAGGGAGCUAAUCGGAAAAAGCCGGCCUCAGUUCGGAUUGGAGUCUGCAACUCGACUCCAUGAAGCUGGAAUCGCUAGUAAUCGCGGAUCAGCACGCCGCGGUGAAUACGUUCCCGGGCCUUGUA
rnacentral:rRNA from 1 species